rnacentral:rRNA from 1 species
UACGUAGGGUGCAAGCGUUAAUCGGAAUUACUGGGCGUAAAGCGUGCGCAGGCGGUUUUGUAAGUCUGUCGUGAAAGCCCCGGGCUCAACCUGGGAAUUGCGAUGGAGACUGCAAGGCUUGAAUCUGGCAGAGGGGGGUAGAAUUCCACGUGUAGCAGUGAAAUGCGUAGAGAUGUGGAGGAACACCGAUGGCGAAGGCAGCCCUCUGGGUCAAGAUUGACGCUCAUGCACGAAAGCGUGGGGAGCAAACAGG